rnacentral:lncRNA from 1 species
UACAAUAGGUGCAACCAAAGAAGGCAUGAUAAAAGGAGAAGAGGAGGGAGUUGAGUAGUACCUUCUAAAGAAGUGAGGGAAAGAAAUUCUAAGAGAUUAUCAUCUUUUGAGCCAAUCUAUUAAUAGUGUCAGGGACCAAAUGAACGAUUGAACCACAUUGACAAAAAAAUAAUGGAGAGUUAAUUAAAAAUUUUUGAUGAUCGAACCACAUUGACAUUAAAAAAAAUUGAGGGUCAAUUGAAAAUUUUUAAACUAUUCAAGUCUAAGUAUUUCUCAUCAUGGUUAAAAGGAUGCGACUAUAUUUUUUUCUUAUAUGGGA